rnacentral:rRNA from 1 species
AUUCCAGCUCCAAUAGCGUAUAUUAAAGUUGUUGCAGUUAAAAAGCUCGUAGUCGGAUUUUGGCAUCACGCCGAACUGUCUGCCGAUUGGUAAGUACGGUUUGGCGGGUGCUUCCUUCCGGAGGCUCGUUCCCUUCUUCAUUGAAGGGUUCGUUGGUUCCGGGUCUUUUACUUUGAGAAAAUUAGAGUGUUCAAAGCAGGCCUAUGCUCUGAAUAGGUUAGCAUGGAAUAAUAGAAUAGGACUUUGGUUCUAUUUUGUUGGUUUCUAGGACCGAAGUAAUGAUUAAUAGGGACAGUUGGGGGCAUUCAUAUUCCAUUGUCAGAGGUGAAAUUCUUGGAUUAACGGAAGAUGAACUUCUGCGAAAGCAUCUGCCAAGGAUGUUUUCAUCA